GACGAACGCUGGAGGCGUGCUUAACACAUGCAAGUCGAACGAUGAAGUGGAGCUUGCUCCACGGAUUAGUGGCGAACGGGUGAGUAACACGUGAAUAACCUGCCCUCAAUUUCGGAAUAACCCAGGGAAACCUGGGCUAAUACCGGAUACGUAAACCUGUGGCAUCACAUGGUUUUGGAAAGUUUUUCGAUUGAGGAUGGAUUCGCGGCCUAUCAGCUUGUUGGUGAGGUAAUGGCUCACCAAGGCGACGACGGGUAGCCGGCCUGAGAGGGUGAACGGCCACACUGGGACUGAGACACGGCCCAGACUCCUACGGGAGGCAGCAGUGGGGAAUAUUGCGCAAUGGACGAAAGUCUGACGCAGCGACGCCUCGUGAGGGACGAAGGUCUUCGGAUUGUAAACCUCUUUCAGCAGGGACGAAGCGAAAGUGACGGUACCUGCAGAAGAAGCACCGGCUAACUAUGUG
rnacentral:rRNA from 1 species